AUUGAACGCUGGCGGCAGGCUUAACACAUGCAAGUCGAGCGGGGUGAUGGUGCUUGCACUAUCACUUAGCGGCGGACGGGUGAGUAAUGCUUAGGAAUCUGCCUAUUAGUGGGGGACAACAUCUCGAAAGGGAUGCUAAUACCGCAUACGUCCUACGGGAGAAAGCAGGGGAUCACUUGUGACCUUGCGCUAAUAGAUGAGCCUAAGUCGGAUUAGCUAGUUGGUGGGGUAAAGGCCUACCAAGGCGACGAUCUGUAGCGGGUCUGAGAGGAUGAUCCGACACACUGGUACUGGGACACGGACCUGACUCCUUCGGGAGGAAGCAGUGGGGAUUAUUGGACAAUGGGGGGAACCCUGAUCCAGCCAUGCCGCGUGUGUGAAGAAGGCCUUAUGGUUGUAAAGCACUUUAAGCGAGGAGGAGGCUCUUUUGGUUAAUACCCAAGAUGAGUGGACGUUACUCGCAGAAUAAGCACCGGCUAACUCUGUGCCAGCCGCCGCCGUAA
rnacentral:rRNA from 1 species